rnacentral:rRNA from 1 species
GACGAACGCUGGCGGCGUGCCUAAUACAUGCAAGUAGAACGCACAGUUUAUACCGUAGCUUGCUACACCAUAGACUGUGAGUUGCGAACGGGUGAGUAACGCGUAGGUAACCUACCUGGUAGCGGGGGAUAACUAUUGGAAACGAUAGCUAAUACCGCAUAAUAUUAAUUAUUGCAUGAUAAUUAAUUGAAAGGUGCAAUUGCACCACUACCAGAUGGACCUGCGUUGUAUUAGCUAGUAGGUGAGGUAACGGCUCACCUAGGCGACGAGACAUAGCCGACCUGAGAGGGUGAUCGGCCACACUGGGACUGAGACACGGCCCAGACUACUACGGGAGGCAGCAGUAGGGAAUCUUCGGCAAUGGACGAAAGUCUGACCGAGCAACGCCGCGUGAGGGAAGAAGGGUUUCGGAUCGUAAAGCUCUGUUGUAAGAGAAGAACGGGUGUGAGAGUGGAAAGUUCACACUGUGACGGUAUCUUACCAGAAAGGGACGGCUAACUACGUG